rnacentral:misc_RNA from 1 species
UUGUUCGACGAGUGUAAAGUC